rnacentral:misc_RNA from 1 species
GAUGAAGAACGUAGCGAAAUGCGAUAAGUAAUGUGAAUUGCAGAAUUCAGUGAAUCAUCGAAUCUUUGAACGCACAUUGCGCCCGCCAGUAUUCUGGCGGGCAUGUCUGUUCGAGCGUCAUUUCAACCAUCAAGCCCCCGGCUUGUGUUGGGGACCUGCGGCUGCCGCAGGCCCUGAAAACCAGUGGCGGGCUCGCUAGUCACUCCGAGCGUAGUAAUACAUCUCGCUCAGGGCGUGCUGCGGGUUCCGGCCGUUAAAAAGCCUUAUUUACCCAAGGUUGACCUCGGAUCAGGUAGGAAGACCCGCUGAACUUAAGCAUAUCAAUAAGCGGAGGA